rnacentral:rRNA from 1 species
GGGGGGGGGGGGGGGGGGGGGGGGGGGGGGGGGGGCGGGGGGUGAGGGGGGGUGGGGUGGGGGCGGGGGGCGAACGGGGGAGUGAUGCAUGGGGACGUACCCAGAGGUGGGGGGUGACGCAGCGAAAGCUGUGCUAGUACCGCAUGUGAGCUGAGGAUGAAAGCGGGGGACCGAGCAGCAAUGUUUGGCCUCGCGCCUUUGGGGCGGCCGAUGUCGGAUUAGCUAGUUGGUGGGGUAAAGGCCUACCAAGGCGACGCUCCGUAGCUGGUCUGAGAGGACGACCAGCCACACUGGGACUGAGACACGGCCCAGACUCCUACGGGAGGCAGCAGUGGGGAAUUUUGGACAAUGGGCGCAAGCCUGAUCCAGCAAUGCCGCGUGCGGGAAGAAGGCCUUCGGGUUGUAAACCGCUUUUGGCAGGAACGAAACGGUGUCCGCUAAUACCGGGCGCUAAUGACGGUACCUGCAGAAUAAGCACCGGCUAACUACGUG